GAUCCUGGCUCAGAUUGAACGCUGGCGGCAUGCCUUACACAUGCAAGUCGAACGGCAGCACGGGUGCUUGCACCUGGUGGCGAGUGGCGAACGGGUGAGUAAUACAUCGGAACAUGUCCUGUAGUGGGGGAUAGCCCGGCGAAAGCCGGAUUAAUACCGCAUACGAUCCACGGAUGAAAGCGGGGGACCUUCGGGCCUCGCGCUAUAGGGUUGGCCGAUGGCUGAUUAGCUAGUUGGUGGGGUAAAGGCCUACCAAGGCGACGAUCAGUAGCUGGUCUGAGAGGACGACCAGCCACACUGGGACUGAGACACGGCCCAGACUCCUACGGGAGGCAGCAGUGGGGAAUUUUGGACAAUGGGCGAAAGCCUGAUCCAGCAAUGCCGCGUGUGUGAAGAAGGCCUUCGGGUUGUAAAGCACUUUUGUCCGGAAAGAAAUCCCUGGCUCUAAUACAGUCGGGGGAUGACGGUACCGGAAGA
rnacentral:rRNA from 1 species